rnacentral:rRNA from 1 species
GAUGUACGCUGGCGGCGUGCCUAAUACAUGCAAGUCGAGCGAACAGACGAGGAGCUUGCCCCUCUGACGUUAGCGGCGGACGGGUGAGUAACACGUGGAUAACCUACCUAUAAGACUGGGAUAACUUCGGGAAACCGGAGCUAAUACCGGAUAAUAUAUUGAACCGCAUGGUUCAAUAGUGAAAGACGGUUUUGCUGUCACUUAUAGAUGGAUCCGCGCCGCAUUAGCUAGUUGGUAAGGUAACGGCUUACCAAGGCAACGAUGCGUAGCCGACCUGAGAGGGUGAUCGGCCACACUGGAACUGAGACACGGUCCAGACUCCUACGGGAGGCAGCAGUAGGGAAUCUUCCGCAAUGGGCGAAAGCCUGACGGAGCAACGCCGCGUGAGUGAUGAAGGUCUUCGGAUCGUAAAACUCUGUUAUUAGGGAAGAACAAAUGUGUAAGUAACUAUGCACGUCUUGACGGUACCUAAUCAGAAAGCCACGGCUAACUACGUG